rnacentral:lncRNA from 1 species
AUAUGCAGCUCUGGUAAUUCUCAGUACAAUUCCCAGUGGUCCACUCUGCAGAAUGAACCAAGUUUCAUUUUGCCCAACUUCUGGCAGUCCACAUUUGGACUGUGAACUCACCUACAGAUAAAUCGUACGUGGAUUGAUGCAGUAACUGGAUUUGUAGCUGCUAAAUCUUAAGUGAGGAUCUGUCCAGUACAUGUGAAGACCACCCAUCCACUGAAAGUGAUAAGUGUUCCCAAUUUUGAGGAAAUCUUGGAAAAUCUCCGAGAAAUGUGGUAAUAAUUACUUUGAAGAAUUGGAAAACUUUAUAGUUGAUUAUGCUAUGUGUGGAAGAUACAACAGGAUUAUAAGAGAGAGAAGACAACAUCCUUGCUGUGUCCAGAAGGCUUUAGCCAGGGUGUCCUACUGAGAGAUGACAAACUUAAGGUUUUUCUCUUCCCAGACAUUACUGGACAACUAACUAUGUAAUUAGGUCUUAUGCAGAAAAGACUGAAAGGAAAACAUCUCAGAUCUAGGAAUGUGAUCAAGAAAGAAGGCUGGUUAAAGAAUAACACAGGGAAAAUGAAUGCAGUGAAAUGGUUCACGCACAAGUUCUAGGAAUUCAGAGUGCAACAGCAGAAAUGCGAUUUUUGUUAGCUAUUUCAGGAAGUGAUAUGAGUCCCUGAGGUCAUACUGCAGCGUUCAGGUUCUGUUUGGCCUCCUGCACGAAGCUUUCCUUGAUUGGAAAAGCUGCAUACUCUGAAGCAUAUCGCAUGUGUCCUGUCUAUAGUUCAUUUCAUUUCCCCAGAUUUGUUAUCAUCCACCAUCACUCAUACAAGCCUACCUUCUUCAUGCCAACCUUUGUAAUCUUUCUACCUUGCUAACCUGGUCAUGAUAUACCUCUGAAGUCUUAUUUGAGCUUCAGAAUUAUGAGUCUGUGCUCUCAAGAUUUUUUUGAAAAUGUGCUUAAUGUUUCCCCUAAGCUUUUAUGAGAAAUAAUAAAGUUCUUUCCAGAUU